CCCUUAGAUGUUCUGGGCCGCACGCGCGCUACACUGAUGCAUUCAACGAGCCUAUCCUUGACCGACAGGUCCGGGUAAUCUUUGAAUCUGCAUCGUGACGGGGAUAGAUUAUUGCAAUUAUUAAUCUUGAACGAGGAAUUCCUAGUAAACGCAAGUCAUCAGCUUGCAUUGAUUACGUCCCUGCCCUUUGUACACACCGCCCGUCGCACCUACUGAUUGAAUGACUCGGUGAAAAAUCGGGACUGCGAGAACAAUCGAUUAAUUUCGAAUGUACUUGUGGGAACUUUUUUUUAACCUCGCCAUUUAGAAGAAGGUGAAGUCGUAACA
rnacentral:rRNA from 1 species